rnacentral:rRNA from 1 species
AUUGAACGCUGGCGGCAUGCCUUACACAUGCAAGUCGAACGGUAACGGGCCUUCGGGUGCCGACGAGUGGCGAACGGGUGAGUAAUGUAUCGGAACGUGCCUUUCAGUGGGGGAUAACGUAGCGAAAGUUACGCUAAUACCGCAUAUUCUGUGAGCAGGAAAGCAGGGGAUCGCAAGACCUUGCGCUGAUUGAGCGGCCGAUAUCAGAUUAGCCAGUUGGGGAGGCAAAGGCUCACCAAGGCGACGAUCUGUAGCGGGUCUGAAAGGAUGAUCCGCCGCGCCUGAAGCAAGACACGGGCCAGGGUGCUACGGGGGGCAGGAGUGGGGAAUAUUGGACAGUGGCGCCUACCCUGAUCCUGCCAUGCCGCGUGAGAGUAGAAGGCCUUCGGGUUGUAAAGCUCUUUCGGCCGGGAAGAAAUCGUAUCAGCUAAUACCUGGUGCGGAUGACGGUACCGGCAUAAGAAGCACCGGCUAACUACGUGCCAGCAGCCGCAGUAAAAC